rnacentral:rRNA from 1 species
UACGGGGGGGCAAGCGUUGUUCGGAAUUACUGGGCGUAAAGCGCGUGUCGGCGGCUUGGCAAGUCGGGUGUGAAAGCCCUCAGCUCAACUGAGGAAGUGCGCCCGAAACUGCUGAGCUCGAGUGCCGGAGAGGAUGGCGGAAUUCCCCAAGUAGAGGUGAAAUUCGUAGAUAUGGGGAGGAACACCGGUGGCGAAGGCGGCCAUCUGGACGGUGACUGACGCUGAGACGCGAAAGCGUGGGGAGCAAACAGG